ACCCCGCUGGCGGAAUCGGCAUACGCGCGUGUCUCAGAAACACGUUUUGUCCGGGUUCGAAUCCCGGGUGGGGUACCA
rnacentral:tRNA from 1 species